rnacentral:rRNA from 1 species
UACGGGGGGGCAAGCGUUGUUCGGAAUUACUGGGCGUAAAGGGUUUGUAGGUGGCUUGUUAAGUCAGACGUGAAAUCCCUCAGCUUAACUGGGGAACUGCGUCUGAUACUGGCGAGCUUGAGUGCAGGAGAGGAACGCGGAAUUCCAGGUGUAGCGGUGAAAUGCGUAGAUAUCUGGAGGAACACCGGUGGCGAAGGCGGCAUCCUGGACCAACACUGACGCUGAGGAGCGAAAGCCAGGGGAGCAAACGGG